rnacentral:lncRNA from 1 species
AUGGAGAUGGGCUUGUGAUGAGCAGAGACCAUUAAACCUACUGCCCCAUAUUAGGCGGGGGAAGAGGAGGUCGUGGACCCUGGCCUGGAAAACCUUGAGGAGGAGGAGGGAUUGAAGGAGGUCUACCCACCUGAGAGCCAGGAGUGAAGUUCAACAUUGUGCCACUGCCACUUGGAGGUGGGGGUGGUGCAGGUGGAGUUCCACCAGGAGGCAUAGGCCUAGGGCCAUUUGCCAUUGGAGGCGGAGGAGGUGGCAAUGAUGCAGGUGCCGGAGGUGGUGGGGCUCGAGGAGGAUUUAUUGAUGGAGCACCUGCUGGAAGUCCUUGUGGUAGAGGUGGUGGUGGGGCUUGGGGAGGUGGAGGUAAAGGUCUUGGAGGAACACCUGGUGCU